GCUGGGAUGGCGGAAUUGGUAUACGCGCUAGUCUUAGGAACUAGUGGGGCAACCCUUGGGAGUUCGAGUCUCCCUCCCAGCACCA
rnacentral:tRNA from 1 species